UACGGAGGGGGCUAGCGUUGUUCGGAAUUACUGGGCGUAAAGCGCACGUAGGCGGAUUGUUAAGUCAGGGGUGAAAUCCUGGAGCUCAACUCCAGAACUGCCUUUGAUACUGACGGUCUUGAGUUCGGGAGAGGUGAGUGGAACUGCGAGUGUAGAGGUGAAAUUCGUAGAUAUUCGCAAGAACACCAGUGGCGAAGGCGGCUCACUGGCCCGAUACUGACGCUGAGGUGCGAAAGCGUGGGGAGCAAACAGG
rnacentral:rRNA from 1 species